rnacentral:rRNA from 1 species
AAACUUUCAACAACGGAUCUCUUGGUUCUGGCAUCGAUGAAGAACGCAGCGAAAUGCGAUAAGUAAUGUGAAUUGCAGAAUUCCGCGAGUCAUCGAAUCUUUGAACGCACAUUGCGCCCGGGAGUAUUCUCCCGGGCAUGCCUGUUCGAGCGUCAUUU